CACUGUAAAGCUACCUAGCAUUAA
rnacentral:tRNA from 1 species